rnacentral:rRNA from 1 species
UACGUAGGGGGCGAGCGUUGUCCGGAGUUACUGGGCGUAAAGGGCAUGCAGGCGGUCGGACGCGUUUUGUGUGACAGCGGGUGGCUCAACUACGCGAGCAUACGAAAGACGGUUUGACUUGAGGACUGGAGAGGAGACUGGAAUUUACGGUGUAGCGGUGAAAUGCGUAGAUAUCGUAAGGAAGACCAGUGGCGAAGGCGGGUCUCUGGACAGUUCCUGACGCUGAGGCACGAAGGCCAGGGGAGCAAACGGG